GAGCCGCCCGAACGACCGACUUCCCUACGGGCCCCACCGCCCCCCGACCCUGGGGGCGGCAGGGCGACCCCCCCGGGGUCUUUAAACCUCCGCGCCGGAACGCGACAGCUAGGUACCCGGGACAGGAGCGGGGAGGACACGCGAGGCCAGAAAAGCGUGGCAUCGGGACGGGCGAACCCACACGCGACACUCACAUCCCCCCACACGCGACAACCGCCCCAGCCAAAAAAGCCAGAGCCGCGGCGGGGAUGGGUGCCGGGAGAGCAAAGCGCGCGCCCCGACGACCGAACGCCCCCGGGACGGGUCAAAAACCCGUAACGACGUACCGCCCCUCGUAGACACGGAAGAGCCGGACGGGAAAGAGGCACGACGCCCGCGAGCAGCCGCCGCCGCGGUAGGGUGGCGAGGUCAGAGCCGGACGAGGGAGAGGGGAGGGGGAGGGGAAAUCGGAGGCGGUCCCAGACGGACCCAGACCGACCCCACCCACCCCUUCUCUCACCUCACUCCAGACACCUCGCUCCACACGCGGGCGACGGGACCCGGGACGCACGCGCCUCCCGGCGAGGACACACACAAGACGGGGAGAGCGAGCCACGCCGCCGCUCCUCCACAGUCUCCCGUUAAUGAUCCUUCCGCAGGUUCACCUACGGAAACCUUGUUACGACUUUUACUUCCUCUAGAUAGUCAAGUUCGACCGUCUUCUCAGCGCUCCACCAGGGC
rnacentral:lncRNA from 1 species